GAUGAAGAACGUAGCGAAAUACGAUAAGUAAUGUGAAUUGCAGAAUUCAGUGAAUCAUCGAAUCUUUGAACGCACAUUGCGCCCGCGAGUAUUCUCGCGGGCAUGCCUGUCCGAGCGUCAUUUCAACCCUCAGGGCCCGCCUGCUUCGGCAGGCGCGGCGCUGGUGUUGGGGAUCGGCCUAACCGCCGCCCCCCAAAUACAGUGGCGGUCUCGCUGCAGCCUCCCCUGCGUAGUAGCAACACUCGCAUGCGGAGCGCGGCGCGGCCACGCCGUAAAACCCCCGACUUUCUGAACGUUGACCUCGGAUCAGGUAGGAAUACCCGCUGAACUUAAGCAUAUCAAUAAGCGGAGGA
rnacentral:misc_RNA from 1 species